UGCCGGAGGCCACUGCUGUGGGGGUCCGACUAAGCCAUGCGAGUGGUGGGCGCGCUCCGCAAGGGGCGUGGCCCCGCGCACGGCUCAGUAACACGUCGUCAACCUACCCUGGGGACGGGGAUAACCUCGGGAAACUGAGGAUAAUCCCCGAUAGGCAAGGGGUGCUGGAAUGCCCUCUUGCCCAAAACCGGCGGGUAAAACCGCACGGGCCCCAGGAUGGGACGGCGGCCUAUCAGGUAGUUGGUGGGGUAACGGCCCACCAAGCCUACGACGGGUAGCCGCCCUGAGAGGGGGAGCGGCGAGAUGGGCACUGAGACAAGGGCCCAGGCCCUACGGGGCGCAGCAGGCGCGAAACCUCCGCAAUGCCCGAAAGGGUGACGGGGGGACCCCCAGUGCCGCUGGCCUUUUGGUCGGCGGCUUUUCGGGAGUCUAAAAAGCUCCCGGAAUAAGGGCUGGGUAAGUCGGGUGCCAGCCGCCGCGGUAAUACCCGCAGCCCAAGUGGUGGCCGCUAUUAUUGGGCCUAAAGCGCUCGUAGCCGGAUCGGCAAGUCCCCCGUGAAAUCGGCCAGUCGACUGGUCGGCGCGCGGGGGAUACUGCCGGUCUAGGGGCCGGGAGACGCCAGGGGUACUCCGGGGGUAGGGGUGAAAUCCUGUAAUCCCCGGGGGACCACCGGUGGCGGAGGCGCCUGGCGAGAACGGACCCGACGGUGAGGGGCGAAGGCUGGGGGAGCGAAGGGGAUUAGAUACCCCCGUAGUCCCAGCAGUAAAGGAUGCGGGCUAGGUGCUGGGCGUCCUUAGGGGGCGCUCGGUGCCGUAGGGAAGCCGUUAAGCCCGCCGCCUGGGAAGUACGGCCGCAAGGCUGAAACUUAAAGGAAUUGGCGGGGGAGCACCACAACGGGUGGCUCCUGCGGUUCAAUUGGAUUCAACGCCGGACACCUCACCAGGGGCGACGGCUGGAUGAAGGCCAGGCUGAAGACCUUGCCGGACUAGCCGAGAGGUGGUGCAUGGCCGUCGUCAGCUCGUACCGUGAGGCGUCCUCUUAAGUGAGGCAACGAGCGAGACCCGCGCCCCUAGUUGCCAUCGGUGUGAAGCCGGGCACUCUAGGGGGACCGCUGGCGCUAAGCCAGAGGAAGGAGCGGGCGACGGUAGGUCAGUAUGCCCCGAAUCCCCUGGGCCACACGCGGGAGACAAUGGGCGGGACAAUGGGAUGCGACCCCGAAAGGGGAAGCCAAUCCCCUAAACCCGCCCGUAGUUCGGAUCGAGGGCUGCAACUCGCCCUCGUGAAGCUGGAAUCCGUAGUAAUCGCGGGCCAACACCCCGCGGUGAAUAUGUCCCUGCUCCUUGCACACACCGCCCGUCAAGCCACCCGAGCGGGGUCCAAGUGAGGCCCAUCCACGUUGGGUGGGUCGAACUUGGGCUCUGUGAGGGGGGCUAAGUCGUAACAAGGUAGCC
rnacentral:rRNA from 1 species